rnacentral:snoRNA from 1 species
AUUGCUAUGAUUAUUUGCAUUCACCAAUUGUUCCAACUGAAUUUUCCGGGUUGACAAAUGCACUAUCGUUAAGUUUCAGCCUUGUAUGAGCUUU